rnacentral:lncRNA from 1 species
AAAGGAGUAGACGCAGGCGAAGUAGAGGAGAGCAGACACAGGACACAGACUGAAAACCAACAUCCAACACAGACCACAGUCUACAGGAGGAGGGGAGGACGAGGAUGGCUCAGGAGGACUGAUUUCUGGCAAUAGACAGUCAGGAGGACUGGUUUCUGGCAAUAGACUGGCAGGAGGACUGGUUUCUGGACCAAGUGAAAUCCUAGUGGUGAUGUUUCCAUACUGGAACAACUCUUUAUAUUUCAUUCGUUUUCCUUCUUGAAACUUGUACUCCACAGUCCCACAGUAGUAGAGUCCCAGGUCAGAUUCAGUGAUGUUCUCAAUCAGUAGAUCAUAGGAGAUGUUAGAGGGGUUCCACACCACAUUAUAUCCAGGAAGAGAGAUGGAACUUAAAAACUUAGUUAAAAUAACAAGAGGAGGCUGGUACUUGUGAGAACAGUUCCUAUACCACAUAAUGUAUAUUCCAGAAGAUAAGUUACAGUCACAGUAGAGAGUGAUGUUGUCUCCUGGUCUGACUCUCAUCUCCACCUCUGCUGCAGAGAUCCCAUCCUGACUGGAGGAAACAGCACCUACAGGUAGCAGAGGAACAGUGUUUGGAUGAAUCACAGAAUGUCACUUUGACAUCAUAAACUUCUCCACAUGAAAAUGUAAACGUCAUGUCUUUACCACAGUCCACACAAAAUCACAAUAAUAAGAUAAGAAAUCUGGUCAACCAUAAAACCACAUCAAGAAAUCAGCUUUCAUCCAGCUAUAAGACCAAGUAAAACAGUUACUCACAUAAGAAUGCAAUCAGGGUGACACACAGCCUGUCCAUGUUGCGGUCUGAUGGUCUGAUGGUGACUGUCAGAGAGUAGGUGGGUCUUUGAGUAAAAAGGUCUUUGCUGUGUAUUUCUGUGUUCAUGAUUAGAUGUACUUUACCAUGAAAGGACAUACGAGCAGCGAUUGGUUCGAUCGAGUGGAAAGUUUUCAGCCUGUGGUCCUUUUCCCUGAAAACCUUUUCGUGUGACAUGAAGGGGGGGGUCUAGCAUCGAGGUAAACAGGUUUCACAAUAACGUGAAUUUAAUGGAAAUUAUUCAGCUUCUUUGAGGUGUUCACCUUAGAUAGCAACACCUUAAGAGACCUGUAGACAUUACGAAGAAACAAACACACAUUUUGAUGACUGAGUUAACCAUUAAACCAGAAAAUACACUUAUACAGAGUCUUAAAAUAGGCUAAUAGACCUAUAAUCCUUUAUAACUGUAAUCAGGCAGUAGCCCUAAUGUUAGACCUAAAGUAGACCUUUAUAUCUGUAGUCAGGAAGUAGUCCUAAUGUUAGACCUAAAGUAGACCUUCAUACCUGUAGUCAGGAAGUAGGUCUAAUGUUAGACCUAAAGUAGACCUUUAGACCUUUAACACAGAAUUCCUGGAUACAGCCAUUAGCUUUGAUAUAUUGGCCAUAUACCACAACCACCCAAGGUGCCAUAUUGCUAUUAUAAACAGGUUACCAACAUAAUUAGAACAGUAAAUAAGUUGUUUGCAUUGUACCUGUGGUAUAUUGUCUCAUAUAUAGCCAAUUAGCAUUCAUGAAUAUAUAGCAUUCAACUAGUGAGUUUUAAAACUGACUUUUAAUUAGUGAAUAGAGAUAGUGUUAUUUUUCAUCGUUGACCAUUUUAUUUGGAACACUAAACUAUGGUGGUGAUAAUAGUAAACUUCAAUACCCAAGAUGCAUUGGAGGAUGUGCUAUAUACCCAGUGUUAAACAGUUGUUUUUAUCACAUCUGAUGAAUGAUCUCUGUGUUUAUCAAUGAACAGUGGCCAAUCAGUUAACAUCCACACUCUAGUCAAUAUGUGUGAAGGGGAGAGAUAUAUGUGACAAAUGAACUUGUAAUAACAAUGUUUGGACUCUCUUCCUCAGGCUGAAUGACAGCACCAUGAAAACAACAACAGGAAGUCAGUG